rnacentral:rRNA from 1 species
GAUGAACGCUAGCGGCAGGCCUAACACAUGCAAGUCGAGGGGGAGGUUACUUUCGGGUAACUGAGACCGGCGUACGGGUGCGUAACGCGUAUACAAUCUGCCUUUCACUGGGGGAUAGCCCGAAGAAAUUUGGAUUAAUACCCCAUAGUAUAGUAAUACGGCAUCGUGAUGCUAUUAAAGCUUAGGUGGUGAAAGAUGAGUAUGCGUUCUAUUAGCUAGUUGGAGAGGUAACGGCUCCCCAAGGCGAUGAUAGAUAGGGGUUCUGAGAGGGAUGUCCCCUACACUGGUACUGAGAUACGGACCAGACUCCUACGGGAGGCAGCAGUGAGGAAUAUUGGACAAUGGUCGGAAGACUGAUCCAGCCAUGCCGCGUGCAGGAUGAAGGUCUUAUGGAUUGUAAACUGCUUUUGUAAGGGAAGAAUAAGGGCUACGCGUAGUUUGAUGACGGUACCUUACGAAUAAGCAUCGGCUAACUCCGUG